rnacentral:lncRNA from 10 species
CAGGACCACACCAUCUGCGCAGCCUGCACCCUCGCGGCCCGGUAAACUUGACAGUUUCUUAUAGAGCACAGAAGCCGUGGUGGUGUCAUGGAAUAUUGUCAAUUUCGGUUACAUUUCAUCAUGGUCAAGUCAACUCCAGGAGGCAGCAUCAUGGACGAUUUGGCUUAUGUUCUGCUUUUGUCUUCUACAGAACCUUGUGUCUCACUGUUGUCUCCUUCCUGGCUGGGGUUAUCACAUGGCAUAUCCAACUGAUUCCAUGGAAAGCUUGUGUUUACCCUCAAUAGUUAGAGACGUACAAGGAUGGAGAGGGAACAGAGCCAUCUUCCCAGAACCAACUUCUGCCAGAGGAGUCCCAUGAUAAUCCCAGCCAAAAGAACGAAAACAUGAGUAAUGGCUGUGACAUAAGAAAAUCCUAAGAGAGAAAACAGAGAAAAAGUUUUACGUGAGCGCCACAUUCCAGUUUGCAGAGUUAAGAUAGAUGAGGACAUUCAUUAAAUUCAUGUAUUAAUUCUAAUUCAAGAUGCACUGAAUUUCCAUCAUGUGAAUCAGAUGUUUUAUUUAUUUCUCUCUCAUUGUAUGGAUAAUGUCUAUAACUAGAGAAUGAGACUCAAUCCUACCUUUUCUUCCAAACUGUCUAUCUUCACUAGGGUGGAGUUCUUGUCUAUGCAGUCCUUUCUACUGUUAGCCCAGGUUUUCUCCUCAUUUGUUGUAAAAUAGUAGCAACUAUUUUGGUACCAUUGCCACAUCUUAGGACAUGGAUUACAUCUGUGGUCUGAAAAGGAAAUUAUACCCAAUAAUAUAAACUGAAGACUCUAGAGUGACUGGAGAAGGCUUUGAAACAAAAUCAUGUAAUUGAACAAUAGGGACUGAGAGCCUGCACCCUGAAAGCAUACUGCUUUAGAAGCCUCUGAAAAAAAAGUGACCCCUGGUUAUGGGUUGGGGCAACAGGGAUUCUCUUUUCAUGGCUUAGUCUUCUGACCUCAGAAUUACCAGCUAUGCCUUUAAGCUUUCAGAGCAACAUGAUCACCUAGAAAUAGUUAAUAAAAUGAGGGGUUGAAGUAUCCAGAUUGAUAUCAUUCCAAGAUACUUCCCAAAUUUGCCUGUGGUUUCAAAAAUAUUAAAUGAAUUUGUAUAUUUCCUUGCUGUGUGUAAAUUUAGUGCAACAUCAUUAAGGUUCACUGGAUGACAUAACUCUCUCAAUACUCUUAGGUGGUACAUGUGAUCAACUUAGACCAGGAUAACAUAUGCCAUCUGACUGGUCAGCAGGACUAAGUCUGAUUACCUGAAGUAUGAAUGAUUAGCUCUUGGCACAGUUUGAUGGCCAUUUGUUCCUGCCUCUU